GAUGAACGCUGGCGGCGUGCCUAAUACAUGCAAGUCGAGCGAACGGACGAGAAGCUUGCUUCUCUGAUGUUAGCGGCGGACGGGUGAGUAACACGUGGAUAACCUACCUAUAAGACUGGGAUAACUUCGGGAAGCCGGAGCUAAUACCGGAUAAUAUUUUGAACCGCAUGGUUCAAAAGUGAAAGACGGUCUUGCUGUCACUUAUAGAUGGAUCCGCGCUGCAUUAGCUAGUUGGUAAGGUAACGGCUUACCAAGGCAACGAUGCAUAGCCGACCUGAGAGGGUGAUUCGCCACACUGGAACUGAGACACGGUCCAGACUCCUACGGGAGGCAGCAGUAGGGAAUCUUCCACAAUGGGCGAAAGCCUGACCGAGCAACGCCGCGUGGGUGAAAAAGGUCUUCGGGUCGUAAAACCCUGUUAUUUGGGAAGAACAUAUGUGUAAGUAACUGUGCACAUCUUGACGGUACCUAAUCAGAAAGCCACGGCUAACUACGUG
rnacentral:rRNA from 1 species